rnacentral:tRNA from 1 species
UGGCUCAGACGGUAAAGCGUCUGUCUGCAACGCAGAAGACCCAGGUUCAGUCCCUGG